UGAACCUAACAUCUUCCGCCUCUUGCGAUCUUUCCAUUUUCAUCUUUGUCUCCCAGGUGCUCCCUUUCGAAUGUCGCUUGUGCUUUACUCGUCUUCGUCUUUUCCUCUGGGAUGUAAAUUGACGUUCCUCGUAUCGUGGAGUGCGUAGUGGUCGCCAUCCAGACGCAACUCAGUUCCAGCUGAUAUUGUGUUGCAUAUUCAUAUCUGUUUGGAUCCUGCGUUGACUCUUAUUGAUGAUGUUGUACCCCUGUUCUUUUGGCGAAAACUUUUUUGUGCUGAUAUAGAUUAGCAAAAAAGUUAAUUUGAUAGUUGUAAGGAUCCCUUUCUGAGGGUUUUCUUUUUCGUAAAUAGCUUUUUUGCUCUCCA